rnacentral:rRNA from 1 species
UACGUAGGGUGCGAGCGUUAAUCGGAAUUACUGGGCGUAAAGCGUGCGCAGGCGGUUCGUUGUGUCUGAUGUGAAAGCCCCGGGCUCAACCUGGGAAUGGCAUUGGAAACUGGCGAGCUAGAGUGUGGCAGAGGGGGGUGGAAUUCCGCGUGUAGCAGUGAAAUGCGCAGAGAUGCGGAGGAACACCGAUGGCGAAGGCAGCCCCCUGGGCUGACACUGACGCUCAGGCACGAAAGCGUGGGGAGCAAACAGG